CCUACGGGAGGCUGCAGUGGGGAAUAUUGGUCAAUGGCCGUAAGGCUGAACCAGCCAAGUAGCGUGAGGGAAGACUGCCCUAUGGGUUGUAAACCUCUUUUAUGCGGGGAUAAGGGUGUCCACGUGUGGAUGUUUGCAGGUACCGCAUGAAUAAGGACCGGCUAAUUCCGUGCCAGCAGCCGCGGUAAUGCGGAAGGUCCGGUCGUUAUCCGGAUUUAUUGGGUUUAAAGGGAGCGUAGGGCGGGCUUUAAGCGUGCCGGGAAAUUUUGUGGCUCAACCAGGAGAGUGCAGCGCGAACUGGAGACCUUGAGUGCGCGGAAGGCAGGCGGAAUUCGUGGUGUAGCGGUGAAAUGCUUAGAUAUCACGAAGAACCCCGAUUGCGAAGGCAGCCUGCCGCAGCGUUACUGACGCUGAAGCUCGAAAGCGCGGGGAGCGAACAGGAUUAGAUACCCUGGUAGUC
rnacentral:rRNA from 1 species